rnacentral:tRNA from 1 species
GCCUUAAGGUGACAUUCAUAUCGAAUUGCAAAUUCGAAGAGGUAGAGAACAUCUCUACUAAGGCUU